GACGGACGCUGGCGGCGUGCCUAAUACAUGCAAGUCGAGCGAAGUUUUUCUGGUGCUUGCACUAGAAAAACUUAGCGGCGAACGGGCGAGUAACACGUAAAGAACCUGCCUCAUAGACUGGGACAACUAUUGGAAACGAUAGCUAAUACCGGAUAACAGUAUUUCUCGCAUGAGAGAUAUUUAAAAGUUGGUUAUGCUAACACUAUGAGAUGGCUUUGCGGUGCAUUAGCUAGUUGGUGGGGUAAAGGCCCACCAAGGCGACGAUGCAUAGCCGACCUGAGAGGGUGAUCGGCCACACUGGGACUGAGACACGGCCCAGACUCCUACGGGAGGCAGCAGUAGGGAAUCUUCCGCAAUGGGCGAAAGCCUGACGGAGCAACGCCGCGUGAGUGAAGAAGGAUUUCGGUUCGUAAAGCUCUGUUGUUAGGGAAGAAUGGAUAUGUAGUAACUAUACAUGUAAGAGACGGUACCUAACCAGAAAGCCACGGCUAACUACGUG
rnacentral:rRNA from 1 species